rnacentral:rRNA from 1 species
UACGUAGGGGGCAAGCGUUGUCCGGAAUUAUUGGGCGUAAAGAGCGCGUAGGCGGUCCGGUAAGUCGGUUGUGAAAGUCGGGGGCUCAACCCUCGGAUGCCGAUCGAUACUGUCGGGCUAGAGUCCGGGAAGAGGCGAGUGGAAUCCUGGUGUAGCGGUGAAAUGCGCAGAUAUCAGGAGGAACACCAAUGGCGAAGGCAGCUCGCUGGGACGGUACUGACGCUGAGGUGCGAAAGCGUGGGGGAGCAAACAGG